AUGGCGAUACGCCUCCCGGUUUCUAACGCUUGCCCAUCUGGAAUUGCUAACCCGCAGCGCCAGCAGCGUGGCCACGCCUCCACGACGUCCACCGCCGGGGCCGUUGCCGCGGUUGCCGCACCGCCCUCGACAUUCGCCCCCCAGACGACGCGGCUCUCGGCGCCGUCGAUCAUCGCGGUGAACACCAGGCAUGCGGCCCCGGUGGCUCCGGUCUUCGCGCCGGUGAGGAGAAAUGGUGACAAGACGACGCUGGCGAGCAUGUGGCGGGAGAUCCAGGGCGAAGGCGACUGGGCCGGCCUGGUGGAACCGCUGCACCCGCUCCUCCGCGCCGAGAUCGUCCGCUACGGCGAGCUCGUGGCGGCGACCUACAAGGCGUUCGACCUAGACGCCGGCUCCAAGCGGUACCUCAACUGUAAGUACGGCAAGGCACGGAUGCUCCAGGAGGUAGGCAUGGCCGGCGCCGGGUACGCCGUCACGAGGUACAUUUACGCCGCGCCGGACGUCUCGCUCCCUGGCGUGGCAGGGGCGGCUUGCCCGAGCCGGUGGGUUGGGUACGUGGCGGUGGCAUCGGACGACACCGCGCGCCGGCUCGGCCGUCGGGACAUUGUCGUGUCCUUCCGGGGUACGGUGACAGGGUCGGAGUGGGUGGCCAACAUGAUGAGCUCGCUUGCGCCGGCGCGGUUCGACCCAGCAGAUCCUCGGUCAGAUGUGAAGGUCGAGUCCGGAUUCCUGUCCCUGUACACAUCGGAAGACGGCGCCGGCAGGUUUACCUGCGGCAGCUGCCGGAACCAGGUCCUCUCCGAGGUGACACGGCUCGUUAAACAAUAUAAGCACGAGGACGUGAGCAUCACGCUGGCCGGACACAGCAUGGGCAGCUCCCUGGCCCUCCUCCUUGGCUACGACCUCGCCGAGCUCGGCCUGAAUCGCGACGGAAGGGGCAACCAUGUGCCCAUCACCGUCUACUCCUUCGCCGGCCCAAGGGUCGGGAACAUGGGGUUCAAGAACCGGUGCGACGAGCUGGGCGUGAAGGUCCUGAGAAUGGUGAACGUGAACGAUCCAAUCACAAAGCUGCCCGGCAUCUUCUUGAACGAGAAAUCUAGAGUUUUGGGUGGCAGGUUGGAGCUUCCAUGGAGCUGUGCAUGCUACACGCAUAUCGGCGUCGAGCUUGCCCUAGACUUCUUCAAGGCAAGGGACCCUGCUUGCGUGCACGACUUGGAGGCUUACCUAGGCUUCCUCAAGUGCCUAAAGGGGACGAAGGUUAAGAAACAAGGGGCGGAGCUGGCAGGCAAGGCAAGGAAAUUCGAUCUACGGCAAAGUUUUGAUGCUGCUUGGAGGUGGCAAAUGACUGCGAUUCAAGUUAGUGACUUGGUGCAAUCCUUAGGGAUUUAG
rnacentral:rRNA from 1 species